rnacentral:lncRNA from 1 species
GAAUAUUUUAGAACAGGCUGAAGUACAGACACUGGGAAAUGAGAAAAAGGUGGAGCCUUCUCCCUUAAUCAAAGCUGCAUCCGGAUUUUGUCCAGGACUUCAUCCACCAUUCAUCAAUUUUUAAAAAAAUUUUUGUCCUUCAAAGACUAAUCUCAACAUAUUUUUUCUUUUUUGAAACUUAAGAAGUGUCCAAUUCUUCGGAAUAUGCUGCAUAAAAAACCUUCAGUACAAUAUGUUUGACUUCUCCAUAAAUAAUUUUACUGUAUGAAAUCAGAGCUUCUUAUUAUAUUUGGUCUUAUUCGUUUUGAUGUGCUGUGAUUUUCCUGCCUCAUGCUGUAGGUCAUGCUGUGGGAUUAGUUAUACAGCCAUUCUGCUACUGACUAGUAACUGACAGAAGCUGUUUUCAUAACCUUUUUUGAAGAUUGCAACAUCUAUAUAUGUAUUUCUGUUUUCCAGCUUAUCUUGACUUUUCAAAAUACUUGCAAGCUCCUUAUCAGCAGAGUUUUAAAACUUGUAGUAAGGAAUAAGUUCCUUUUCCUAGCUAGCAUGCUAUCAGUUUGGGAAAAGUCACUUAAAAACAUGAGCAAAAGAGUCUCAAUAUAUUUAAAUUGUAACCUUGAAAGAAAAAGGAAUGUUAUCUCAAAUGAUCAAGACUAAUGAUUCAGGAUUUUAGAGAUCAUUAUCAAAACUUCAGAGUCAAGUUAGAUGUACUGGAUAAGCCUGACUGCUGGAUGGAUUCAGAAGAUCCUUGAGAGCAAGGUAAGGAAAAUGUUCAGAUGGAGAAUCAGUUCAGACUGUGAGCUAAUGCAGCCUCCUCAGUACGUCAGAAGAACUGUAAAUCCUAUUCAGAAGAUUUUCACCCAAAUGAAAUGGAUUUUGGCUAUGCUCCUGCCCUGGAUGGGUACUCUGAAGGUAUCCAUGAACUUUCUAUUAUUAAUCAGAAAAUACACAGAAAGAUGGAGACUCAGCACCCUGCAAAUUCCAUGGCAUUUCACUGCCCCACUUUUACUGGAGAGAAAAUUGUUAUUUUGUACUGAUUUUUGCUGAUCACUUUUUAGUGGUAGUAAUAUAGCAGGAACUCUAGUUCUCACAGUGGAAAUACAGACAAUCAGAAAACAUCCCACCUAUCUACAUCUUUACUUCUUAAGGGGAUAAUUUUGUGAGAAAGAUUGAGUGAGGAUAGUAUUAAUAAAUCCCAAUUUUCUAUCA